CUGGAGAAGGGAGGACUAGAAAAGCUAUACAUGUGGACAGCACUCCACCCUACUACUCCCCAUAUCUGUGCCACAAGUAACUAUUGGAGGGAGAGUUACGGAGGCCGACAGGGCUGCCAUUCCCAGCCAGAGUGAUAUUUUGAGUAGUCCCCCCUUAAAGACUGCAGGAUGCAGUCUGGUCACAGAUAAAGUUUUGAUGCCAGUCCACCAAUCACCACUGUAAACUUAUUCUACAGACAGGUGCUCCACAGAUUCCCAUAGCUGCAAUGCUGAGUCUCCCUGACCACCUUUUCAGUGAGUUCGCAAUGGAGGAAGAGGAGAGAAAUGUGUGCCUGAUUGAAUGGACUUCAAAAAGAGGAUUAUUAGAAAGGA